rnacentral:rRNA from 1 species
UACGGAGGGUGCAAGCGUUGCUCGGAAUUAUUGGGCGUAAAGGGUAGGUAGGUGGUCUCAUUUGUCUGGGGUGAAAGCCUUGAGCUUAACUCAAGAAGUGCCCCAGAAACGGUGAGACUAGAGUCCUGGAGAGGGUCGUGGAAUUCCCGGUGUAGCGGUGAAAUGCGUAGAUAUCGUAAGGAAGACCAGUGGCGAAGGCGGGUCUCUGGACAGUUCCUGACGCUGAGGCACGAAGGCCAGGGGAGCAAACGGG